rnacentral:lncRNA from 1 species
AUGGCCGUUUCCACCGUUCUGCCCGAGCGCUCGUGCGCCGGCACGCAGCGAGCAACCACUGCUGGUCACGCACGCCCCGCCGGCCCCCCGGCCCCUUCCACCGUGGCCGCGGUGCUCCCAGCCCCAGGAGCCCCGGCGCUCGCCCCGGGCAGCGCCAUGCACGAGCCGCCCUGCCGUGGGCAGCGCCGAGCGCACUCAGCCCUCACCAGCCUGGCGUCUCCUCCCCCCGCCGGUGCAGGGGCUGGAGGAGGCAGCACGCGCCGCGGGCCGGCUGCACCCCUCGGUGCACCGCUCGCCCCUGGUGCCCGGCACCCACCUCCGCCCCGGCGAGCCGGGACCCCCGGGAGCAGCAGCRGGAAGGGGCGGGCUGCAGCUCGGGGCUGCUUUCGGCGGGGAGCAUCUCCCGCGCUGCCGGGCACGGGGGCCCCGGUGGGCCGCGUCUCGGUGCCUCCGGCUGCUCCGCCGGGACUGGCACAGGCACCGAGGGKCUUGAUGCCGCCCCGUCCCCACGUGCCGGGGGGACCAGCCAGAGGUGCUGGACUGCCAGCACAGCCCAGCAGCCGGGAGAGCAGCGUGGGCACACCGCCGUGGGGGCUCUGGACGGCACGGCCCGCCCUGCCCCACACCUCCCGGCUCCUCUGCCGUCCCUGCUCACGCCUCUCCGCGGGCGCCGGCCCUGCUGGAGCCCCCAGCUGCCUGCCGGGGACACGGCCCCGCUCGCCGCAGCCAGCCUACGUGACGGCGCCGCAGCCUCCCGCCCGGCCCCGCACAGGAAUGACCCCGGGCGGCAGCGCCGCGACGCGCUCCGCUGACCCGGACCGCGCUCGCCCACCACGACCCGGCCAGGCUCCAGGCUCCAGGGGCGGCGGGACGCGGGACGGCGCCGGCUCUCGGCAAGGGCAGACCCCCGGCGCGCCCUCCCGCAACGCCCCUGUGCAGCUCCUCUCCCUGCGGCUGCCUGAUCGCUUUCCGCACGCCRGCAGCCUUCGGCGCCUGCUCCGUCACCGGGAGCCCACCCUGCCUCUGCCCGCCUGCUCCCCGGCUCCCACCGCUGCCACGGGGCCGGCACGGGAAGGGUCUUCCCGACGCCCCGGCCUCCCCCUGGGAGCUCCAGCCCCUGUCCCAGGCAUCGGGGCGGCCGCCGCGCCACCAUGCGCCACGUUCCCGGGYGGGCGGCUGCUGGGCGGCUCCGGUCCCUGCGCUGGCUGCGCCCCAGCCGCCGGGGCUGCGCCGGGGCCGYGGUCAAUGAUUUCUCAGGCAACCGCACGUCGUGGGGCCGCGGCCGCCUCGGGCAGGGCUGUGACCUGCCGCGCCGCGUUCGGCACCCGAAGGCCGGCGCGCGGCGGCCCCUCCCCGGCCCGCGGGGAUAUAAACGCCACCGCCGCGCCACGCCGGCAGUGCAGCAUCCUCCGGCAGCGCCAUGAGGACCGCGGGCGUCUUGCUGGUGGGCGUCCUCGCCCUGUGCGCGCAGCCGGCCGCAGGAGCACCGGUGGACGGGGGUGA